rnacentral:misc_RNA from 1 species
UUUAAUUGUUCUCUCUGCUAGUUCUAAAUGGAUUCCCAAAUUUUUGGCUGAAUUCCUAGCUUCACCAAUUAGGGGUCAUUCAAGUGCUUUUAGAACUUACAAGCGCCUUGCUUCCAAUCUUUAUUGGCCUGGCAUGAUGAAGAGGGUUAUGAAUUUUGUGGCGGGAGUGUUUAGUGUGUCCAAAACACUAAUAUGAAGCUUCCUCACCUGCUCGUUUAAUCCAACCCAUGCCCAUUCCGAAUCCAGUAUGGGAAGAUAUUUCAUUAGAUUUCAUAACAGGCCUGCCUCAUUCAUUUGGGAUUGAUGCUAUUUUGGUGGUCGUGGACUGUUUCUCCAAAUAAAGUCAUUUUAUUGGUCUUCGGCAUCCUUACUCUACAAGAACUGUAGCAGAAGUAUUUGAAAAGAAAAUUGUUUAAGACUUACAUGGGAUGCCAAGAUCUAUUGUCAGCGAUCAAGAUCCAAUUUUCCUUAGUCUAUUCUAGUCUGAGCUUUUUCGUCUUUAGGGCACUCAAUUGCGAAUUGGUACAGCCUACAACCCUGAAACAAAUGGGCAGACGGAAGUUCUAAAUAGAGGAUUAGAGAUUUAUCUUUGCUGCUUCACCUCGGAACAACCUAAAAAUUGGAGCAAGUGGCUACCUUGGGCCGAAUUGGUAUAAUACCAGUUACCAUACAGUGGUAGGCAUGUCUCCUUUUGAAAUAGUAUAUGACAGACCACCCCUUAUUCCUACUCAAUUUUUACCUGGUGAAACAAAAGUUGAAUCAGUGGCUCAAAAUUUAUCUACCCGAGAUCAGUUACUUCGGCAAUUAACUUACAACUUAACUAGAGCGCAG